rnacentral:rRNA from 1 species
CAUACGAUCCAAUGACGACGGUCAUUGGAUGAAAGGGGCGUUUCGCCUCGCCGAGGGAUGAGCCCGCGGCCCAUCAGGUAGUUGGUGGGGUAAUGGCCCACCAAGCCUACGACGGGUAGCUGGCCUGAGAGGGUGGUCGGCCACAAGGGCACUGAGACACGGGCCCUACUCCUACGGGAGGCAGCAGUGGGGAAUCUUGGACAAUGGGCGAAAGCCUGAUCCAGCGACGCCGCGUGGGGGACGAAGCCCUUCGGGGUGUAAACCCCUGUUGCGAGGGAGGAAUAAGACCUGGAGGAAAUGCCAGGUCGAUGACUGUACCUCGCGAGAAAGCCCCGGCUAACUACGUGCCAGCAGCCGCGGUAAUACGUAGGGGGCGAGCGUUACCCGGAUUCACUGGGCGUAAAGGGGGUGUAGGCGGCUCGGUAAGUCGGGUGUGAAAUCCCACGGCUCAACCGUGGAAUUGCGCCCGAAACUGCCGAGCUUGGGGCCGGUAGAGGGAGACGGAACUGCCGGUGUAGGGGUGAAAUCCGUAGAUAUCGGCAGGAACGCCGGUGUGGAAGCCGGUCUCCUGAGCCGCGCCCGACGCUGASGCCCGAAAGCUACGGGGAGCARACCRGAUUAGAUACCCGGGUAGUCCUAGCCGUAAACGAUGCCCACUAGGUGUGGGGGAGUAUUUCCUCCGUGCUGUAGCUAACGCGUUAAGUGGGCCGCCUGGGGAGUACGCCCGCAAGGGUGAAACUCAAAGGAAUUGGCGGGACCCCGCACAAGCGGUGGAGCGCGUGGUUUAAUUGGAUGCUGAGCCAAGAACCUUACCAGGGCUUGACAUGCAGGUGGUACCGACCCGAAAGGGGAGGGACCCCAUCCUUUUGGGUGGGGAGCCUGCACAGGUGGUGCACGGCCGUCGUCAGCUCGUGCCGUGAGGUGUUGGGUUAAGUCCCGCAACGAGCGCAACCCCUGCCCUUAGUUGCCAUCGGUUCGGCCGGGCACUCUAAGGGGACUGCCGGCGACGAGCCGGAGGAAGGAGGGGACGACGUCAGGUACUCGUGCCCUUUAUGCCCUGGGCUACACACGCGCUACAAUGGGUGGUACAGUGGGUUGCGACCCCGCGAGGGGGAGCCAAUCCCUAAAACCACCCCCAGUUCGGAUCGCAGGCUGCAACCCGCCUGCGUGAAGCCGGAAUCGCUAGUAAUCG